rnacentral:rRNA from 1 species
AUUCCUGUACUGCGGUAUGACAGAACUGUGGGGACACGUAAGGAAAGCGGAAGCCGGGAAUGGAAAGCCCGGUGCAAGCGGGGUACCAGCCACUUUGGCAAAUCCGGGUGGCAAUGGGAAUCCGUGAUGCGGAGCGAAAUAAAGUAGCGAAGUCCGUGAGCCAUGCGUCAAGAAAAGCCGCUAUUGUUUGUACCGUACCCGUACCGUAAACCGACACAGGUGGAUGAGGAGAGAAUCCUAAGGCCGGCGGAAGAAGCAUUGUCAAGGAACUCGGCAAAAUGGCCCCGUAACUUAGGGAUAAGGGGUGCCUGGGAAACCAGGCCGCAGAGAAUAGGCUCAAGCAACUGUUUAGCAAAAACACAGGUCUAUGCGAAACCGAAAGGUGAGGUAUAUGGGCUGACGCCUGCCCGGUGCUGGAAGGUUAAGAGGAGAGGUUAGCGGUAACGCGAAGCUUUGAAUUUAAGCCCCAGUAAACGGCGGCCGUAACGAUAACGGUCCUAAGGUAGCGAAAUUCCUUGUCGGGUAAGUUCCGACCCGCACGAAAGGCGUAAUGAUUUGAGCGCUGUCUCGACAAUGCAUCCGGUGAAAUUGAAGUACCAGUGAAGAUGCUGGUUACCUGCGCCAGGACGGAAAGACCCCAUGGAGCUUUACUCCAGUCUGGUACUGGGACUCGGUAUUGCAUGUACAGGAUAGGUGGGAGGCUAGGAGAUGGUAACGCCAGUUGCCAUGGAGCCGCUGUUGGGAUACCACCCUUGCAGUAUUGGGUUUCUAACCAGCCGCCGUGACCCGGCGGUGGGACAAUGCCAGACGGGGAGUUUGACUGGGGCGGUCGCCUCCGAAAGGGUAUCGGAGGCGCCCAAAGGUUCCCUCAGAAUGGACGGAAACCAUUCGAAGAGUGCAAAGGCAGAAGGGAGCUUGACUGCGACACCGACGGGUGGAGCAGGUACGAAAGUAGGGCUUAGUGAUCCGGUGGUAUUAAGUGGGAAUGCCAUCGCUCAACGGAUAAAAGCUACCCUGGGAUAACAGGCUUAUCACUCCCAAGAGUUCACAUCGACGGAGUGGUUUGGCACCUCGAUGUCGGCUCAUCGCAUCCUGGGGCUGUAGUAGGUCCCAAGGGUUGGGCUGUUCGCCCAUUAAAGCGGUACGCGAGCUGGGUUCAGAACGUCGUGAGACAGUUCGGUCCCUAUCCGGCGUGGGCGUAGGAUAUCUGAGAGGAGCUGUCCUUAGUACGAGAGGACCGGGAUGGACGGGCCGCUGGUGCAUCGGUUAGACUGCCAAGUCUACGGCCGAGUAGCCAAGCCCGGAAGGGAUAAACGCUGAAGGCAUCUAAGCGUGAAGCCCCCCUUAAGAUGAGAUAUCCCAUUCGUUAAGAAGUAAACCCCCUUGAAGACGACGAGGUAGAUAGGGCAGAGGUGGAAGUGUGGCAACACAUGGAGCUGACUGUUACUAAUCGGGUGAGGGCUUGACC